AUUGAACGCUGGCGGCAGGCCUAAUACAUGCAAGUCGAGCGAGCGGCGGACGGGUGAGUAAUGUAUGGGGACUGCCCGAUAGAGGGGUAUAACUACUGGAAACGGUGGCUAAUACCGCAUACUAUCGGAUAACCCAUAUGGGAUUAGCUAGUAGGUGGGGUAAAGGCUCACCUAGGCGACGAUCUCUAGCUGGUCUGAGAGGAUGAUCAGCAACACUGGUACUGAGACACGGCCCAGACUCCUACGGAGGCAGCAUUGGGGAAUAUUGCGCAAUGGGCGCAAGCCUGAAGCAGCCAUGCCGCGUAUCUGAAGAAGGCCUUGGGGUUGUAAAGUACGUUCAGCGGGGAGGCGGUACCCACAGAAGAAGCACCGGCUAACUCCGUGCCAGCCGCCGCGGUAAUUC
rnacentral:rRNA from 1 species